CCUACGGGUGGCAGCAGUGGGGGAUAUUGCACAAUGGGGGCAACCCUGAUGCAGCGACGCCGCGUGAGCGAUGGAGUACUUCGGUAUGUAAAGCUCUGUCAGCAGGGAAGAGAAUGACGGUACCUGACUAAGAAGCCCCGGCUAAAUACGUGCCAGCAGCCGCGGUAAUACGUAUGGGGCAAGCGUUAUCCGGAUUUACUGGGUGUAAAGGGAGCGUAGGCGGCAGGGCAAGCCUGAGGUGGAAGCCCGGGGUUCAACCCCGGGACUGCAUUGGGAACUGCCCCGCUCGAGUGCCGGAGGGGCAGGCGGAAUGCCUAGUGUAGCGGUGAAAUGCGUAGAUAUUAGGAGGAACACCAGUGGCGAAGGCGGCCUGCUGGACGGUGUACUGACGCUGAGGCUCGAAAGCGUGGGGAGCAAACAGGAUUAGAUACCCCAGUAGUC
rnacentral:rRNA from 1 species